AUUGAACGCUGGCGGUAUGCUUUACACAUGCAAGUCGAACGGUAACAGGCCUUCGGGUGCUGACGAGUGGCGAACGGGUGAGUAAUGCAUCGGAACGUGCCCAGAGGUGGGGGAUAACGCAGCGAAAGCUGUGCUAAUACCGCAUGUGAUCUGAGGAUGAAAGCGGGGGACCAGGCAGCAAUGUUUGGCCUCGCGCCUUUGGAGCGGCCGAUGUCAGAUUAGGUAGUUGGUGGGGUAAAGGCCUACCAAGCCGACGAUCUGUAGCUGGUCUGAGAGGACGACCAGCCACACUGGGACUGAGACACGGCCCAGACUCCUACGGGAGGCAGCAGUGGGGAAUUUUGGACAAUGGGCGCAAGCCUGAUCCAGCAAUGCCGCGUGCGGGAAGAAGGCCUUCGGGUUGUAAACCGCUUUUGUACGGAACGAAAAGGCUCUGGCUAAUACCUGGGGCUGAUGACGGUACCGUAAGAAUAAGCACCGGCUAACUACGUG
rnacentral:rRNA from 1 species